CUACGGGAGGCAGCAGUGGGGAAUAUUGCACAAUGGGGGGAAACCCUGAUGCAGCGACGCCGCGUGGAGGAAGAAGGUCUUCGGAUUGUAAACUCCUGUUGUUGAGGAAUGAUAAUGACGGUACUCAACAAGGAAGUGACGGCUAACUACGUGCCAGCAG
rnacentral:rRNA from 1 species